rnacentral:rRNA from 1 species
GGAUGAACGCUGGCGGCGUGCCUAAUACAUGCAAGUCGAACGCGAGCACUUGUGCUCGAGUGGCGAACGGGUGAGUAAUACAUAAGUAACCUGCCCUAGACAGGGGGAUAACUAUUGGAAACGAUAGCUAAGACCGCAUAGGUACGGACACUGCAUGGUGACCGUAUUAAAAGUGCCUCAAAGCACUGGUAGAGGAUGGACUUAUGGCGCAUUAGCUGGUUGGCGGGGUAACGGCCCACCAAGGCGACGAUGCGUAGCCGACCUGAGAGGGUGACCGGCCACACUGGGGACUGAGACACGGCCCAG